UGUGCUUCGGUGGCAGUAUACUGAAACUGAAAGGAUACAGAGAAGAUUAGCAUGGCCCCUG
rnacentral:snRNA from 1 species